rnacentral:rRNA from 1 species
UGGGUAGUGGCGUGCCUUUUGAAGAAUGAGCCUGCGAGUUACGUUAUAUAGCGAGGUUAAGGAAUAGUAGUUCCGGAGCCGUAGGGAAACCGAGUCUUAAUAGGGCGUUUUAAGUUGUAUGACGUAGACCCGAAGCCAUGGUGAUCUAGUCAUGAGCAGGUUGAAGCAAGGGUAAAACCUUGUGGAGGACCGAACUAUAAUCUGUUAAAAAAGGUAUGGAUGACUUGUGACUCGGAGUGAAAGGCUAAACAAACCUGGAAAUAGCUGGUUCUCCCCGAAAUGCCUUUAGGGACAGCCUCAUACAAAAUUACUGGGGGUAAAGCACUGGAUGGACUAGGGGGCGUCACUGCCUACCAAACCCAAUCAAACUCUGAAUACCAGUAAUCAACGUAUGGGAGUGAGACUACGUGCGACAAGGUUCGUAGUCAAGAGGGAAACAGCCCAGACCAACAACUAAGGUCCCCAAAUAUUGCUAAGUGUAAAAUGAAGUGUAAGUGCACAGACAGCCAGGAGGUUGGCUUAGAAGCAGCCAUUCCUUAAAAGAGUGCGUAAUAGCUCACUGGUCGAGCACUUAUGCGCAGAUAAUGUAACGGGGCUAAGCAAUAUACCGAAGUUUUGGAUCUAACUCUUUGUGAGUUAGGUGGUAGGGGAGCGUUCCAUAGGUCGAUGAAGGUAAGUUGUAAGACUUGCUGGAGAUAUUGGAAGUGAGAAUGCAGGUAUAAGUAACGAAAAGACGGGUGAGAUCCCCGUCCGCCGAAAACCUAAGGUUUCCUGGGUAAAGGUAAUCUGCCCAGGGUAAGUCGGCCCCUAAGGCCAGGACGAAGGUCGUAGCCGAUGGGAAUCCGGUUCAAAUUCCGGAACCUUUAUUAGUUUCGAGGGCAAGACGCAUGAGGUGAAACCAGGCAGGGCGACGGUUGUCCCUGUCGAAGUAUCCGAGCUUUUGAGGUCUGUAGGCAAAUCCGCAGACUGAGGUGAGGUGCGAAGCGAGUGGAAAGAAAGUUGAAGCGAAGCUGGUGUAAUCAUGGUGCCAAGAAAUACUGUCUAAGGUUAGGCUAAUAAAGACCGUACCGUAAACCGACACAGGUAGGUGGGAUGAGAAAUCUAAGGCGCUCGAGAGAACUCGCGUUAAGGAACUCGGCAAAAUGCACACGUAACUUCGGGAGAAGUGUGGCCCCUUUUUGGUAAAAGAUGGGGGGUGGCACAGAGCAGGCCCAGGCGACUGUUUAUCAAAAACACAGGCAUCUGCGAAUCAGCAAUGAGACGUAUAGGUGCUGACACCUGCCCGGUGCUGGAAGGUUAAGAGGAGCGGUUAGCAGAGCUGCGAAGCUGCGAAUCGAAGCCCCAGUAAACGGCGGCCGUAACUAUAACGGUCCUAAGGUAGCGAAAUUCCUUGUCGGGUAAGUUCCGACCCGCACGAAUGGUGUAACGAUUCUGGGCACUGUCUCAACGCGAGACUCGGUGAAAUUUAUAUACCGGUAAAGAAGCCGGUUACUCACAGUUAGACGGAAAGACCCCGUGAACCUUCACCGUAACUUACUAUUGGGAUUUUAUUUAUCAUGUGUAGAAUAGGUGGGAGACUAUGAAGUAUGGGCGUUAGCUUGUAUGGAGUCGGCCAGUGAAAUACCACCCUUGGUGAAUGGAAUUUCUAACACAUGCCAUGAAGCUGGUGUGUGGACAGUGGUAGGCAGGCGGUUUGACUGGGGCGGUCGCCUCCUAAAGAGUAACGGAGGCGCGCGAAGGUCUCCUCGCGC